rnacentral:rRNA from 1 species
AGAGUUUGAUCCUGGCUCAGGAUGAACGCUGGCGGCGUGCCUAACACAUGCAAGUCGAACGUGAGGUCUAUUUCGGUAGGCUGAAAGUGGCGAACGGGUGAGUAACACGUUGGUGACCUGCCCCGCAGCGGGGGAUAACUCUGGGAAACCAGAGCUAAAACCCCAGAUGUUUAAGGGUUUAGACGCCUUAAACUAAAACUCCGGUGCUGCGGGAGGGGCCUGCGGGCUAUCAGCUAGUUGGUGGGGUAAAGGCCUACCAAGGCGAAGACGGCUAGGGGGCGUGAGAGCGUGACCCCCCACAAGGGAACUGAGAAACGGUCCCUACUCCUACGGGAGGCAGCAGUGAGGAAUAUUGAGCAAUGGGCGCAAGCCUGACUCAGCAACGCCGCGUGGAUGAUGACGGCCUUCGGGUUGUAAAAUCCUUUUCUGAGGGAAGAUAAUGACGGUACCUCAGGAAUAAGUUCCGGCUAACUACGUGCCAGCAGCCGCGGUAAAACGUAGGGGACAAGCGUUAUCCGGAUUUACUGGGCGUAAAGCGCAUGUAGGUGGCUUGCCAAGUUGGACGUGAAAGCUCCCGGCUUAACUGGGAGAGGUCGUUCAAAACUGGCAGGCUUGAGGUUGGAAGAGGAGAGCGGAAUUCCCGGUGUAGUGGUGGAAUGCGUAGAUAUCGGGAGGAACACCAGUGGCGAAAGCGGCUCUCUGGUUCAAUACUGACACUGAGAUGCGAAAGCGUGGGGAGCGAACGGGAUUAGAUACCCCGGUAGUCCACGCUGUAAACGAUGGAUACUAGGUGUAGGCGGUCAUUAACCCCGUCUGUGCCGAAGCCAACGCGUUAAGUAUCCCGCCUGGGGACUACGGCCGCAAGGUUAAAACUCAAAGGAAUUGAUGG